rnacentral:rRNA from 1 species
UACGUAGGGGACAAGCGUUGUCCGGAAUGACUGGGCGUAAAGGGCGCGUAGGCGGUCUACACAGUCAGAUGUGAAAUCCCCGGGCUUAACCUGGGAGCCGCAUUUGAUACGUGUAGACUAGAGUGUGAGAGAGGGUUGUGGAAUUCCCAGUGUAGAGGUGAAAUUCGUAGAUAUUGGGAAGAACACCGGUGGCGAAGGCGGCAACCUGGCUCAUUACUGACGCUGAGGCGCGAAAGCGUGGGGAGCAAACAGGAUUAGAUACCCUGUUAGUCCACGCUGUAAACGAUGUGUGCUAGAUGUUGGGUAACUUUGUUAUUCAGUGUCGCAGUUAACGCGUUAAGCACACCGCCUGGGGAGUACGGCCGCAAGGUUGGA